GUUGCACUUUCCAAAAGCAGAACCUGUUUUCCCUCCUCUGCUUUCUCUCUCACCAGCAGACGGAUGAAAACACUAUGUUUUCCCUGGAGCUUGACCCACAGCUGAAAGAGGAAAUGGAGAGUGAAAAGCACAGUUUGUGGGGAAGAAGGAGCCCAAGGGAGAGGGGAGAUGCUGAGCUUCUGUCUGUGGGAACUGCCGCAGAGGGACCAGGAGCCGGUCCAGCAUCCUCGACAGUAACAGGAACCAACGUGCUGUGUUUGCAGACUGGAAAUUCUUUGAAAACACUUGGCGUCCAUGGAUUCGCAGACGUGAAGACCAGAAGCAGCCCUCAGGCUGGUGGUCCAGCCUGGCUGAUGGCUCUCCAGAACCCCCCAUGCACCCCAUUGCCCACGACUGGAGACGGGACUGCUGCCACCCCUCCUCCCCUCAUCAUCCUCACUCUGACGGGCAGGCGUUGGUCCCCAGACUGGCUCUUGCUGUGCCAUCUUCAGCUCGGUUUGAUUGAAGAGCUCUCCAGUGCCUGGCAUUUUCUGCCCGCAAUGGUACUUAGUCACUGCAAUCAAGUCGGCACUUCAUCUCCUUUUGAUUAGCGGAACAGACUGCGCUCUGCCAGUCUGCAGAGCAGGGUGGUGCCUGGGCUAAUCAGGCUGCAGGCAGCGCCCUGCAGAGAUGCCGCACCCCGUCGUGAUGCUCCUCAGCACCAGAUGCUCCUCAACUCCCCAUGGAGGUGCCCCGGUGCCGGUGACG